GCCAGUGUGGUGUAAUGGUUUGGGCCUUGGACUGUGACUCUGGAGACCAGGGUUCAAAUUCCUGCUCAAGGA
rnacentral:tRNA from 1 species